UUAAGUAAAGACAGUUCGGGAGAAACUCCAGUUGGCAUAAAAUAUGUUUUGCUGUGAAGAAAAACAGAUACUGCAGAGCUUUGAAAGUGACAGCUUACAACAGAGGUGGGAAGUAACAACGUACAAGCAUGUCAUCACUGUAGGAAUGGAUAGGAUCACAACAACCUACUAAAGUGUACCCUACCUCUUGUCCAAUGACAGCUGGAUAUAGACACCAUUUCUUGGCAACCCAGCAAUGAUAAGCAGAUUGUUGAUGCUGUGUAUCGGGAAUCUCUGCCCCACUGUCAGUGACCUCUCUCUCCUGUGGCAUCCAUUCGACAACCCUGUCAGAAAAAUACAUGCUCAGCAUGCUUGGGAGUAAAAGAAAAACCAUCGGAGGCUUUGAAAGCAUUUCACAUCCAUGUUUUCAUGUACUGGCCAUG